AGAGUUUGAUCCUGGCUCAGGAUGAACGCUGGCGGCGUGCUUAACACAUGCAAGUCGAGCGAUGAAGUUUCCUUCGGGAAACGGAUUAGCGGCGGACGGGUGAGUAACACGUGGGUAACCUGCCUCAUAGAGUGGAAUAGCCUUCCGAAAGGAAGAUUAAUACCGCAUAAUGUUGAAAGAUGGCAUCAUCAUUUAACCAAAGGAGCAAUCCGCUAUGAGAUGGACCCGCGGCGCAUUAGCUAGUUGGUGGGGUAACGGCCUACCAAGGCGACGAUGCGUAGCCGACCUGAGAGGGUGAUCGGCCACAUUGGGACUGAGACACGGCCCAGACUCCUACGGGAGGCAGCAGUGGGGAAUAUUGCACAAUGGGGGAAACCCUGAUGCAGCAACGCCGCGUGAGUGAUGAAGGUUUUCGGAUCGUAAAGCUCUGUCUUUGGGGAAGAUAAUGACGGUACCCAAGGAGGAAGCCACGGCUAACUACGUGCCAGCAGCCGCGGUAAUACGUAGGUGGCGAGCGUUAUCCGGAUUUACUGGGCGUAAAGGGAGCGUAGGCGGAUGAUUAAGUGGGAUGUGAAAUACCCGGGCUCAACUUGGGUGCUGCAUUCCAAACUGGUUAUCUAGAGUGCAGGAGAGGAGAGUGGAAUUCCUAGUGUAGCGGUGAAAUGCGUUGAGAUUAGGAAGAACACCAGUGGCGAAGGCGACUCUCUGGACUGUAACUGACGCUGAGGCUCGAAAGCGUGGGGAGCAAACAAGAUUAGAUUCCCUGGUAGUCCACGCCGUAAACGAUGAAUACUAGGUGUGGGGGUUUCAACACCUCCGUGCCGCCGCUAACGCAUUAAGUAUUCCGCCUGGGGAGUACGGUCGCAAGUAUUAAAACUCAAAGGAACUGACGGGGACCCGCACAAGUAGCGGAGCAUGUGGUUUAAUUCGAAGCAACGCGAAGAACCUUACCUACACUUGACAUCCCUUGCAUUACUCUUAAUCGAGGAAAUCCCUUCGGGGACAAGGUGACAGGUGGUGCAUGGUUGUCGUCAGCUCGUGUCGUGAGAUGUUGGGUUAAGUCCCGCAACGAGCGCAACCCUUGUCGUUAGUUACUACCAUUAAGUUGAGGACUCUAGCGAGACUGCCUGGGUUAACCAGGAGGAAGGUGGGGAUGACGUCAAAUCAUCAUGCCCCUUAUGUGUAGGGCUACACACGUGCUACAAUGGCUGGUACAGAGAGAUGCAAUACCGCGAGGUGGAGCCAAACUUAAAAACCAGUCUCAGUUCGGAUUGUAGGCCGAAACUCGCCUACAUGAAGCUGGAGUUACUAGUAAUCGCGAAUCAGAAUGCCGCGGUGAAUACGAUCCCGGGUCUUGCACUCACCGCCCGUCA
rnacentral:rRNA from 1 species